rnacentral:tRNA from 1 species
GCUCGAACCCACGACCCUGAGAUUAAGAGUCUCAUGCUCUACCGACUGAGCUAGCCGGGCAGUUAGAAAAGCGCCUCCCCCAAUUUAUUAUGAGGACGUACACAUUCUGUUUGAGACUGCUAGGGCCACAGGAUUCUGGAUUUUCUUUGUUUUUGUUUUACAAGGGGGACGACAUGAAAGGCAAGCAUAUAAGCAUUAUCUGAAAUUUUUUUUUACUUCUCCACCAUCAAGGCUUACACACACAGAUAAGGGAGGGGAGGUGCGAUUUCAUUUUAAUAUAAAAUAUUUGACAACCCCGAAAUACAGGAUCCAGUUUAUUUUUUUUAUGUUUUGUCUACCACUGACUGCAGAAGUUCAUUAAAUCUAAUAGAUGCUAAACAAAUACAUGCUUAAAGAGUGCACCAACAUCUCUGCAGGAGGCGAGAGAAAGUGCCCCUUCCCAAUAAGGAAGCAGAACCCCAGUCUCCUGAAAGAUGGGGGAAUAGUCAACGCUAUGCUAACGAGGAAAGCCGAAAUCUCUGGUACAAAAAUUGCCAAAACCCCAACCCUAUAGCUCACGGUUUCAUUUUUCCAUUAAAAAAAAAAAAAAAAAAGCAUGAAUGGUGGACGACACUGAAUCGAGAUGCGACCAUCGUCUAGAAGAACCAGGAACAUGAGCCUUUGCAAGAAUCACUUCAGAGCUGAUGGAACACGGAAUAAAAGGUGCCGGCGUGGCGGGCACUAUUUCGAGGGCAGUGUUUGGACAUUUCACAAACAGAGUAGAGAAGAAUAUUUCUCAAGGAGAGGAUGGAAAACGAAGCAUUGGCCCGUACGGGGAUCGAACCCGCGACCUUGGCGUUAUUAGCACCACGCUCUAACCAACUGAGCUAACCGGCCAACCGCGUCGCUUCCGACGUCCAGAUAAGAAGGUAUUCUUAUUGUUGCUUUUUACUCUGUAAGCAGCUUGGGAUACGCGAGAUGCGGGCUUUGCCCCUCGCUCCCCCCCGAGCUAGGUAGGCUUCGUCCUUUUCCCAAUACUUGUCCUUUUUUUUUUUUUUCGCGCCAUGACGCAGCAACGAGGCGCUAGCAAUACCCCCUUGUCCCCUCUCUGUAUUUUCAGACCAAGAUUAUCUCUGCCUUUGAAGGCCAGCCAGAUACUACAAACAGCCUGUCAUCAAUGGGCCCGGGGCUGAUUUCCAGGCUGCUCUGCUUCAGCCGUCUCUCCCUUGGGUGUUUUUAUCUACGUUUCCACUUUUAUUAGUUUCAGAUAAAGAGAUCCCCAAAUAUCUUAUUUAUCCUGUUUCUCUCUCUACAUACACAAUUCAAAAUGCAAUGGGAAUAAGAACACCGCAGGAAAUUGAUGAAGAGGAGGAUACGAAGUCUAAUGAUUCAACGUUUUAAAAAGUUUCUGACUGUGUAGAUAAAAAGAGUCUGGAGAUGCCGGGGAUCGAACCCGGGGCCUCAUACAUGCGAAGCAUGCGCUCUACCACUGAGCUACAUCCCCAACCCUAUAAGGUAUUCCUUUAUAACUCUUCCCAGUCCUUUGAAUCCUAUUUUUGUCCCCUG